rnacentral:rRNA from 1 species
AACGAACGCUGGCGGCAGGCUUAACACAUGCAAGUCGAACGCCCCUUACGGGGAGUGGCAGACGGGUGAGUAACGCGUGGGAAUCUACCCAUCUCUACGGAAUAACUCAGGGAAACGACUGCUAAUACCGUAUACGCCCUAUGGGGGAAAGAUUUAUCGGAAUUAGAUGAGCCCGCGUAAGAUUAGCUAGUUGGUGGGGUAAUGGCCUACCAAGGCGACGAUCUUUAGCUGGUCUGAGAGGAUGAUCAGCCACACUGGGACUGAGACACGGCCCAGACUCCUACGGGAGGCAGCAGUGGGGAAUAUUGGACAAUGGGCGCAAGCCUGAUCCAGCCAUGCCGCGUGAGUGAUGAAGGCCUUAGGGUUGUAAAGCUCUUUCAGUAGGGAAGAUAAUGACGGUACCUACAGAAGAAGCCCCGGCUAACUUCGUGCCAGCCGCCGCGGUAAAAC